rnacentral:rRNA from 1 species
CUACGGGAGGCACCAGUAGGGAAUCUUAGACAAUGGGGGAAACCCUGAUCUAGCCAUGCCGCGUGAGUGAUGAAGGCCUUAGGGUUGUAAAGCUCUUUCGCUGGGGAAGAUAAUGACGGUACCCAGUAAAGAAACCCCGGCUAACUCCGUGCCAGCAGCCGCGGUAAUACGGAGGGGGUUAGCGUUGUUCGGAAUUACUGGGCGUAAAGCGCGCGUAGGCGGGCUAUUAAGUCAGGGGUGAAAUCCCGGGGCUCAACCCCGGAACUGCCUUUGAUACUGGUAGUCUUGAGUUCGAGAGAGGUGAGUGGAAUUCCGAGUGUAGGGGUGAAAUUCGUAGAUAUUCGGAGGAACAUCAGUGGCGAAGGCGACUCACUGGCUCGAUACUGACGCUGAGGUGCGAAAGUGUGGGGAGCAAACAGGAUUAGAUACCCCCGUAGUC